CAGUCGCCGCGGUAAUACAGAGGGUGCGAGCGUUAAUCGGAUUUACUGGGCGUAAAGCGUGCGUAGGCGGCUAAUUGAGUCGGAUGUGAAAUCCCCGAGCUUAACUUGGGAAUUGCAUUCGAUACUGGUUAGCUAGAGUGUGGGAGAGGAUGGUAGAAUUCCAGGUGUAGCGGUGAAUUGCGUAGAGAUCUGGAGGAAUACCGAUGGCGAAGGCAGCCAUCUGGCCUAACACUGACGCUGAGGUACGAAAGCAUGGGGAGCAAACAGGAUUAGAUACCCCAGUAGUCCCUGUCUCUUAUAC
rnacentral:rRNA from 1 species